AAAAGUCCCCUUUGGGAGCCACAGAGAACUGCUGGUGAUAGUUGGCAGCGUCACACUCACAACCUCUCAAUCACCGGCUGUGCAGCAGAGGUUAAACACAUUCCACAGUGUAAUAACUGUAUAACUGGAAAAUCACAUGUUGCUAUAUUAAGGAAAGCUUUUCCAAGAGAUAAUAUCAAGCAACUCGACCCCAAGGCCUAUACAGAAGGAUCAAAAGACUACCAUCCAAUGUAGAUAAGACAGGUGAGACCUGCUCUCCUUCCUGAGGACAGAAAAUCAAAUGUCAUAAAGCUUCAAAGGACACAGGACAAUGGCAUCAUAAAUCUUCAAAGGGACUCCGAUAAGGUCAGUCCUGAGAUGUGUCACAAAGGUCAGAUGGCAUUAGGAAAACUCAUUUCUUAGACCACAGAGACAUCUACAGGCAGUUAACUCAACAGAUGAAUUGAAGAUGAAUGGAUUUGCUGGGACUGUCUUCAUGGUGUGGCUGUUUGGCUAUAAAUAUGUUUUGAGAAGCAGCUUGAAAGAGAGGAAAAAGGAAGGACAAAUACACCUACGUAACACAGAGACUUCAUCUUCAUUUGCAUGCACACAUUAUAGUGUAGAUAGAUUAUUAGAAUAAAGCCUUGUAUGUUAGACGCUUCUCUCACCACUCAUGUUUAGAUCUGUAAUUUAAUAAAUUCAUCCUUAUAUAA